UUCCUACGGGACGCAGCAGUGAGGAAUAUUGGUCAAUGGACGAAAGUCUGAACCAGCCAUGCCGCGUGAGGGAAGACGGUCCUAUGGAUUGUAAACCUCUUUUGUCGGGGAGCAAAGAGGCCACGUGUGGUCAAAAGCGAGAGUACCCGAAGAAAAAGCAUCGGCUAACUCCGUGCCAGCAGCCGCGGUAAUACGGAGGAUGCGAGCGUUAUCCGGAUUUAUUGGGUUUAAAGGGUGCGUAGGCGGGACGGUAAGUCAGCGGUAAAAAUGCGGAGCUCAACUCCGUCGAGCCGUUGAAACUGCCG
rnacentral:rRNA from 1 species